rfam:Crassostrea gigas strain 05x7-T-G4-1.051#20 contig17928, whole genome shotgun sequence.
GAUUGUGAUAAUUGAAAGUUGAUCAAUAUAAGAUAAAAAAAAAAAAAACGGUUCUCGUCCGAUCACCGAAGUUAAGCAACGUAGAGCUUGGUUAGUACUUGGAUGGGUGACCGCCUGGGAAUACCAGGCGUCGUACACU